rnacentral:lncRNA from 1 species
GGAAAAAGACGAAGACGGAUAAUGUCAUCAGGGACACCAUUCAUCUUCACCGUGCUACACAGCUCCAGGAAAUGCGCCAGGUGCGCAUUAGGGUCUUCAAUCGCUUGUCCACCAUAUUGGCUUUGUUGGACCAUCGUGAUCAAACCCGUUUUCAGCUCAAAGUUGUUUACGUUCACUCGUGGGGGCUCCUGGUACACAUACUG